rnacentral:rRNA from 1 species
UACAGAGGUGGCAAGCGUUGUUCGGAAUUACUGGGCGUAAAGGGCGCGUAGGCGGUUCGAUAAGCCCCGUGUGAAAGCCCCCGGCUCAACUGGGGAACUGCACGGGAAACUGACGGACUUGAGUUCGGGAGAGGGAAGCGGAAUUCCGGGUGUAGCGGUGAAAUGCGUAGAUAUCCGGAGGAACACCGGUGGCGAAGGCGGCUUCCUGGACCGACACUGACGCUGAGGCGCGAAAGCUAGGGGAGCAAACGGG